rnacentral:rRNA from 1 species
UAGUAGUAGUUAUGUUCUUGAAAAUUAAAAAAGUUGGCGGUAUUUUAGUCUAUUUAGAGGAACCUGUCCUGUAAUCGAUAAUCCACGAUUUGAUUUACUUAUUGUUUUAGUUUGUAUAUCGCCGUAGGUUGAAUAUUUUUAAAGAAUUAGUAAUAUUCAAUAAGUUUAUAAGAAAAAAAUUCAGGUCAAGAUGUAGCGUAUAAAUAAGAAGAGAUGGGUUACAAUAAAUAUAUUUAUGAUGAAUUAAUAAAUUUAAUUUUAUAAUGAAGGUGGAUUUAAAAGUAAU